UACGUAGGGUGCGAGCGUUAAUCGGAAUUACUGGGCGUAAAGCGUGCGCAGGCGGCUUUGCAAGACAGAUGUGAAAUCCCCGGGCUCAACCUGGGAACUGCAUUGUGACUGCAUGGCUAGAGUGCGGCAGAGGGGGAUGGAAUUCCGCGUGUAGCAGUGAAAUGCGUAGAUAUGCGGAGGAACACCGAUGGCGAAGGCAAUCCCCUGGGCCUGCACUGACGCUCAUGCACGAAAGCGUGGGGAGCAAACAGG
rnacentral:rRNA from 1 species